rnacentral:rRNA from 1 species
CCUACGGGAGGUAGCAGCGAGGAAUCUUGCGCAAUGGGCGAAAGCCUGACGCAGCAACGCCGCGUGGAUGAUGAGGGCCUUCGGGUCGUAAAGUCCUUUUGUCGGGGAAGAAGUUCUGACGGUACCCGGCGAAUCAGCCACGGCUAACUACGUGCCAGCAGCCGCGGUAAGACGUAGGUGGCGAGCGUUAUCCGGAUUUACUGGGCGUAAAGCGUACGUAGGCGGCCCCGCCAGUCCGCCGUGAAAUCCCCCGGCUCAACCGGGGGCGGCCGGUGGAAACUGCGGGGCUCGAGGGGCGCAGAGGCAAGCGGAAUUCCCGGAGUAGUGGUGGAAUGCGUAGAUACCGGGAGGAACACCAGUGGCGAAAGCGGCUUGCCAGGCGCCACCUGACGCUGAGGUACGAAAGCGUGGGGAGCGAACCGGAUUAGAUACCCGGGUAGUCCACGCCGUAAACGAUGGAUGCUAGACGUGGGGGGUAUCGACCCCUUCCGUGUCGCAGCUAACGCAAUAAGCAUCCCGCCUGGGGAGUACGGCCGCAAGGCUAAAACUCAAAGGAAUUGACGG